ensembl:snoRNA
GUUGAGAUCUAACCUGAUAGGACUUUUCCUAUAGCCACACAUCUGGAAACAUCUACUGUAACUAUCUGAUUUUGCUUUACUCAUAUGAUUAUUAGAGCUGUGGGGAGGAGCUAUGAUAUAAGA